rnacentral:rRNA from 1 species
GACAGAGGGUGCAAACGUUGUUCGGAAUUACUGGGCGUAAAGCGCGUGUAGGCGGCCCUGCAAGUCGGAUGUGAAAUCCCACGGCUCAACCGUGGAAGUGCAUUCGAAACUGCAGGGCUAGAGUCCUGGAGAGGAAGGUGGAAUGCUUGGUGUAGAGGUGAAAUUCGUAGAUAUCAAGCGGAACACCGGUGGCGAAGGCGGCCUUCUGGACAGUGACUGACGCUGAGACGCGAAAGCGUGGGGAAGCAAACAGGG